AGAGUUUGAUCCUGGCUCAGAACGAACGCUGGCGGCAUGCUUAACACAUGCAAGUCGAACGGUGGCUUCGGCCACAGUGGCGCACGGGUGAGUAGCGCGUGGGAACCUGCCUUGGAGUACGGAAUAACCGCGGGAAACUGCGGCUAAUACCGUAUAUUGCCUUCGGGUGAAAGAUUUAUCGCUCCAAGAGGGGCCCGCGU
rnacentral:rRNA from 1 species